rnacentral:rRNA from 1 species
UCGAGGGGCAGCAUUUCAGUAGCUUGCUACUGAAGAUGGCGACCGGCGCACGGGUGCGUAACGCGUAUACAACCUACCUAUAACAGGGGGAUAACACCGAGAAAUUGGUACUAAUACCCCAUAAUACUUUGAAUGGCAUCGUUUAAAGUUGAAAGUUCCGGCGGUUAUAGAUGGGUAUGCGUUGUAUUAGUUAGUUGGUGAGGUAACGGCUCACCAAGACAACGAUACAUAGGGGGACUGAGAGGUUAACCCCCCACACUGGUACUGAGACACGGACCAGACUCCUACGGGAGGCAGCAGUGAGGAAUAUUGGUCAAUGGACGCAAGUCUGAACCAGCCAUGCCGCGUGCAGGAUGACGGCUCUAUGAGUUGUAAACUGCUUUUGUAUGAGGGUAAUUGCACUUACGAGUAGGUGUUUGAAAGUAUCAUACGAAUAAGGAUCGGCUAACUCCGUGCCAGCAGCCGCGGUAAUACGGAGGAUUCAAGCGUUAUCCGGAUUUAUUGGGUUUAAAGGGUGCGUAGGCGGUUUUAUAAGUUAGAGGUGAAAUUUCGGGGCUCAACCCCGACACUGCCUCUAAUACUGUUUAACUAAAGAGUAGUUGCGGUAGGCGGAAUGUAUUGUGUAGCGGUGAAAUGCUUAGAUAUAAUACAGAACACCGAUU